UGUUCUUCAUCUGUUAACCAUGGUUACCUGCAAGAAAAUACGUGCAGUCAUCAUAGCUUUGCACAAAAAGGGCUUCACAGGACAUAAAAGUGUAAAGGGAUCUACGACCCAGGCUGUUCACAUUCUGUUGCUGCAGCGGAGGACAUUGUGAUGCAAAGUCAGCCUGCCCAACGCCAGCAAUCAACAACUGAGGAUACAUUCAUCUUACAGUUAACACCAAUACCACCGCAGGAGCAAACUCCUGCUCAGUUUGCUACACCUCCCACUCCACAGACACCUGAUCCAGACACAAGCACAACCCCCCAAACACCACAGGCUCAAGAACAAGUUUUUUAAGCCUGCUGGGCUAGCCAGCAGACCAAUACUUUGGACUGCUUACACCAACAAACACAGGCCAUUGCAAGUGUAGCCCAUCACAUACCACGCCUAUGCAGAACCAGCAGCAGGCAAACGAUGGAGCUAACAAGAGUGGCCAACACAGUGGAAUUCAUGAGGGCAGACAACAAUAGACUGAUCGACAUCUACCAACGAGUGAUGGAUGAUAAUCAUAGGCUCCAUCAAGGCUACUUGCAGCUUUUUUCGGCCAAACAAACAACCCAAGACAACAUGGUCCGAAUGAUGGAGAGUCAAACGUUGGCCACAAGAGACUUAAACUUGACUCUUACAAAUCUAACAAUGCAUUUAACACAUCAAGGGGCCCACACAAGCUGGAGCUGUACAACAACAACACCCAUAGUGACUCCUGUCACGUCACCACCCAGACGUUCUGCCCGAACUCGGAGACACUCCAGUGGAAAGGGGACAUCCACUGAAAAGGGUCACAAGGAUAAAUAAUUUUGUUUUGUUUAUAUAGUUUAUUUGUUAUCAUUUUGUGGAUAAUUGUAAACAUUCACAGUUAUACAUUUUGGAGACAAAAGCACAAGUAAAGCAGUCCUUUAAAAAAAAAAUAUUGUGUGUUUUUGCAAGCUGAACAUAAUAUUAACAGUUAAAUAUUACAAUAUGCACGGUGGUAAUUAUGUGACAAUCAGUAAUUAUGCAGCAGAGGUUCCGUGUUUUUUUAAAAGAACUUGACUGGUUUAUUGGGAAAUUAUGUUUGGUGCUUUUUACUACUGUAGACGUUUCAUCAUUAGGCCUCAUUUGCAUUUGUCAAUGACUGAAACAUAAAUGCUAUGUAACUUUCAUGUUUAACUUUUUUUGGUGAUUUCCAAAUUUAAACAAUUCUGGACAAAUAAGGUGAGUGUAUUUACAAACAUUACAGGUAAUCACAAAUACACCCAAAAUACAUCCCAAACCACCAAUACGUAUGUUGAGGCAAAAAAUACACAUUGU